UAUGAGAGUUUGAUCCUGGCUCAGGACGAACGCUGGCGGCGUGCCUAAUACAUGCAAGUCGAACGCUUCUUUUUCCACCGGAGCUUGCUCCACCGGAAAAAGAGGAGUGGCGAACGGGUGAGUAACACGUGGGUAACCUGCCCAUCAGAAGGGGAUAACACUUGGAAACAGGUGCUAAUACCGUAUAACAAUCGAAACCGCAUGGUUUUGAUUUGAAAGGCGCUUUCGGGUGUCGCUGAUGGAUGGACCCGCGGUGCAUUAGCUAGUUGGUGAGGUAACGGCUCACCAAGGCCACGAUGCAUAGCCGACCUGAGAGGGUGAUCGGCCACAUUGGGACUGAGACACGGCCCAAACUCCUACGGGAGGCAGCAGUAGGGAAUCUUCGGCAAUGGACGAAAGUCUGACCGAGCAACGCCGCGUGAGUGAAGAAGGUUUUCGGAUCGUAAAACUCUGUUGUUAGAGAAGAACAAGGAUGAGAGUAACUGUUCAUCCCUUGACGGUAUCUAACCAGAAAGCCACGGCUAACUACGUGCCAGCAGCCGCGGUAAUACGUAGGUGGCAAGCGUUGUCCGGAUUUAUUGGGCGUAAAGCAAAUGAUAAGUUAUGAUAAAUGAGUUGCUGUAAGAUUUCGAAAAACGAAAUCAAAAAAACUUUUAAAAAGAGACUUGAGUGCAGAAGAGGAGAGUGGAAUUCCAUGUGUAGCGGUGAAAUGCGUAGAUAUAUGGAGGAACACCAGUGGCGAAGGCGGCUCUCUGGUCUGUAACUGACGCUGAGGCUCGAAAGCGUGGGGAGCAAACAGGAUUAGAUACCCUGGUAGUCCACGCCGUAAACGAUGAGUGCUAAGUGUUGGAGGGUUUCCGCCCUUCAGUGCUGCAGCUAACGCAUUAAGCACUCCGCCUGGGGAGUACGACCGCAAGGUUGAAACUCAAAGGAAUUGACGGGGGCCCGCACAAGCGGUGGAGCAUGUGGUUUAAUUCGAAGCAACGCGAAGAACCUUACCAGGUCUUGACAUCCUUUGACCACUCUAGAGAUAGAGCUUCCCCUUCGGGGGCAAAGUGACAGGUGGUGCAUGGUUGUCGUCAGCUCGUGUCGUGAGAUGUUGGGUUAAGUCCCGCAACGAGCGCAACCCUUAUUGUUAGUUGCCAUCAUUCAGUUGGGCACUCUAGCAAGACUGCCGGUGACAAACCGGAGGAAGGUGGGGAUGACGUCAAAUCAUCAUGCCCCUUAU
rnacentral:rRNA from 1 species